CAGCAAGCAAAAAUGCAGUAAAUGCACCAUGAAGUCUGUGAGCUGUGUAAGCGCCGAAACUCUUCUUGUCACAAAUGCUACUGCAUGAUGAAAAGUUCAAGAGACAAAGUGAGUCAAUGAAACAAUGCUGAGUGACAAGGAACAUCCAGAAUGAGAACUCAAACAACCUCAGAGACAUCUCUGUGCUCUGCUGCUGUCUUGCUGGGUGACCUGAGGCCAGCUACCUCCCUCCUGGAAAGAGCUUUGAACUGUAAAGAUAAAGAAUGCUACGUAAGAGACAGGAAAAUGUCUUUUCAACCUGAGCUGAUUACAUCAGGAUUCUGUAAAGCGCUAAGAAAUGGUCUGCACGGCCUGGAAGUACUGAGCUAUGAAACUCAAUUUCUGUGAAGUGUAUGGGAGAGGCAAAGGAAAGAGCCAGCGUUACAGUCUGUGUGAGACUCAAGUAAAUACGUACACCUCGUGACCUGACUGGGGCCUGGAUUUUUCUUGCUAGUCUACUUCGCAAUGUAUGCAAAGGUAAGGACUCGAUUUGUCAGCUUUUGCUGCCAGAGAAGCACAAGACUACUGAGGCACAAAACUGCUACACAAAACCAACCCAUCUUUUGCAUUGAGGGUGCAGGAAAAAAGUGGUAGUAGAAAAAACUAGUUUAGGACAGCACCUACUCUGUUUUUCUACCUUCCUCAACCACCAGACCUAUCAGAGACUUAAAUGUACUAGCUGGUGUCCAGCAAGCAGGAUAUGUUAACAAAAAGCACAUAAGCUAAAUAGUGUUUCUCAUUAGAGGAGGUAUUCAAGUUCGUUGGCCAGGAUUUUUAUCUGUAUUAAAGUGAUAUUUGGUCAUUUUUCCAUUACUCCCUAUAUUAAUUUUUUUUCACCUAAAGAACUGAUGAUAAAGACCUAGAAUUAUUUAGA